rnacentral:rRNA from 1 species
GACGAACGCUGGCGGCGUGCUUAACACAUGCAAGUCGAACGGAAAGGCCCAGCUUGCUGGGUACUCGAGUGGCGAACGGGUGAGUAACACGUGGGUUAUCUGCCCUCAACUUUGGGAUAAGCCUAGGAAACUGGGUCUAAUACCGGAUAUGAUCAACUGUCGCAUGGUGGUUGGUGGAAAGCUUUUGCGGUUGAGGAUGGGCCCGCGGCCUAUCAGCUUGUUGGUGGGGUAAUGGCCUACCAAGGCGACGACGGGUAGCCGACCUGAGAGGGUGAUCGGCCACACUGGGACUGAGACACGGCCCAGACUCCUACGGGAGGCAGCAGUGGGGAAUAUUGCACAAUGGGCGCAAGCCUGAUGCAGCGACGCCGCGUGAGGGAUGACGGCCUUCGGGUUGUAAACCUCUUUCACCAGGGACGAAGCGUGAGUGACGGUACCUGGAGAAGUAGCACCGGCCAACUACGUG